rnacentral:sRNA from 1 species
GGCCUGAGAGGGGAUGUCCGACCCGAGU